ACUGGCACUGAUCGAAGCCAUUUCAGUUUCUGUAGCUGACGUGGUCAAAAAGGUGCCAAUAGUGACACUUUUCACGACGGUCGCUGCUCCGUUUCAAUGAGUAACGGAGAAGCAACAUUACGGGAAAGGACAAAC